rnacentral:rRNA from 1 species
UUUUUCCUACGGGGGGCAGCAGUGGGGAAUAUUGCACAAUGGGGGAAACCCUGAUGCAGCGACGCCGCGUGAAGGAAGAAGUAUUUCGGUAUGUAAACUUCUAUCAGCAGGGAAGAAAAUGACGGUACCUGACUAAGAAGCCCCGGCUAACUACGCGCCAGCAGCCGCGGUAAUACGUAGGGGGCAAGCGUUAUCCGGAUUUACUGGGUGUAAAGGGAGCGUAGACGGCAGUGCAAGUCUGAAGUGAAAGGCAAGGGCUCAACCCUUGGACUGCUUUGGAAACUGUGCUGCUCGAGUGUCGGAGG